rnacentral:rRNA from 1 species
AUUGAACGCUGGCGGCAUGCCUAACACAUGCAAGUCGAACGGUAACAGGAAGAAGCUUGCUUCUUUGCUGACGAGUGGCGGACGGGUGAGUAAUGUCUGGGAAACUGCCUGAUGGAGGGGGAUAACUACUGGAAACGGUAGCUAAUACCGCAUAUCGUCGCAAGACCAAAGAGGGGGACCUUCGGGCCUCUUUCCAUCGGAUGUGCCCAGAUGGGAUUAGCUAGUAGGUGGGGUAACGGCCCACCUAGGCGACGAUCCCUAGCUGGUCUGAGAGGAUGACCAGCCACACUGGAACUGAGACACGGUCCAGACUCCUACGGGAGGCAGCAGUGGGGAAUAUUGCACAAUGGGCGAAAGCCUGAUGCAGCCAUGCCGCGUGUAUGAAGAAGGCCUUCGGGUUGUAAAGUACUUUCAGCGGGGAGGAAGGGAGUAAAGUUAAUACCUUUGCUCAUUGACGUUACCCGCAGAAGAAGCACCGGCUAACUCCGUG